rnacentral:lncRNA from 1 species
AAAUCCGAAAUUUAACUGCGACUAAUACGCUAGAAGUUAAAUUUUCCGACCAUUUCCAGAGCAAAAAUUAGAUGCGGACUAUACAUUACCGCGACCAAUACACACCAAAAUACGGUAACAGGUUUGUGUGAAAACACAUGGUUGUUGACAAUUUCAUUACAUGACCCUUUUUUUUUUUAAAUGAUUUAAAUAAAAUGCAUGUUAAUAAAUAAUCACACUUGCCAAGAAAAAAGACCCUAACAUUUAAAUUCUCAAUGACUUUUAUUGCAUAAAAUUUACAUUUCAUGAGAAAUAAAAAGCUGUAUUGGAAAAGACAGUAUGAGAUUAAAUGCCCAGUCAUUUCAGACCUGCCAAAUAAAGAAAAUACUAGUAUGAUAUUACAUAGGAUGAAAUAGCCACAAUUGGGCCUAUUUAUUUGACUUAAUUUAUACACGCUGUAUUCAUAUCAUAUGAUUUUGAAAAGUCACAGCCUCAGUGUAGAAAUAUCACAGGAUGAUUGCUGGAAUGUUAUCGGAUAAAUGUUUUCUGGAAAUAUUGAUGAUACAUUAAAGUGAUAUUCAGGCAUUUCUGUUCUUAAAAUAGGUCCAUGAUUUAUGUUUACUUUUUAAGAAAAUGAGAAGACACAUUUUAGUAAACAAAAUCUUGCUAUAAAAACAACCAAGACAGGCAUCUUGCAAAACUAUUUGACAAAUUGGCCAGUUAGAUACUUAACCAUCAAAAUCAAAUGAUUUGUUUUAGUCAGUGAUGAAUGGAGAACAGUUGGGUUUAUUUUAUAUAGCAAAUUUCCUAGCAUACAUAGUUUAGGUCAGCAGAAUCAUGAAAAAGUCAUACACAUAUUAUCUUAAUAAAAAAUACUUUAUUUAAAUUAGCUAAUUUUUAAAAUAAAGUUUCAAUAAUAAUAAUAAGAAUAUUAAGUUUUUGUCCACUGUUCAAGCUGAAUAUUCUUUUAAUAUUUUACAGGUUGAAUAAUAUAAAAAUGUGAGAGCUAAAUUGUAGAAAUAAUACCGAAUAGAUAAUAUAAGAUAACUGUAGAAAUAUCAUCUGAUAAUUGCAAAUGUUACAGUAGAACUGUUACAGGAUUACAGGAUAACAAAAAUGUUACAGGUUAAUAGUAGAAAUGUUACAGGCCAACAAGAAAGAAUGUUUAACUUACAAGUUAACUUUAGAAAUGGUACAGGUUAACAGUAGAAAUUUUACAGGCUAACAAGAAAAAUGUUAUAGGUUAACAGUAGAAAUGGUACAGGUUAACAGUAGAAAUGUUACAGGAUAACAAGAAAAAUGUUACAGGUUAACAGUAGAAAUGGUACAAGUUAACAGUAGAAAUGUUACAGGCUAACAAGAAAAAUGGUACAGGUUAACAGUAGAAAUUAAUGUUACAGGCUAACAUGAAAAAUUAAUGUUACAGGCUAACAUGAAAAAUGUUACAGGUCAACAGUAGAAAUUAAUGUUACAGGCUAACUUGAAAAAUGUUGCAGGUUAACAGUAGAAAUUAAUAUUACAUGCUAACAUGAAAAAUGUUACAGGUUAACGGUAGAAAUUAAUGUUACAGGUUAAUGUGAAAAAUGUUACAGGUUAACAGUAAAAAUGUUAGAGGCUAACAUGAAAAAUGUUACAGGCUAACAAGAAAAAUGUUACAGGUUAACGGUAGAAAUGUUACAGACUAACAAGAAAAAUGUUAAAGUUUAACAGUAGAAAUUAAUGUUACAGGCUAACAUGAAAAUGUUGAAGGUUAAUAGUAGAAAUUAAUGUUACAGGCUAACGUGAAAGAACUUCCUUCACAAUCAACCUAAAAUGAAUUAUGUAUAAACUAAACAGGUUAACAGUAGAAAUGUUACAGGCUAACGUGAAAUAGGUUAACAGUAGAAAUGUUACAGGCUAACGUGAAACAGGUUAACAGUAGAAAUGUUACAGGCUAACAAGAAAAAUGUUACAGGACUUAGUUGGACAUAUUCAUUGAUGAAUUGAGACAAGUUAGUGUUUUGAAUGUUUUCAGCAGUUUUAUAAUAAAUGUGAUAAAAAGAUUGUGAUAGUUUUUUUUUCUUCUAUUUUCUUAUUUUUUGUAAAUAUCAAUAGUUUUAUUUAAUGCAUUGUACUAAAUCCAUUAUUUUAAUGGUUUGAAAUUAGGUAUUUAUAUCUUUAUUUUGUUGUACAGUAUUUAGCACAGAUGUGACAACAUGUAAAUUAAGACAUACAGAAUGAUUCACAGUUUGAUAUAUGUACUGUUCUUUUCCUAUCCCCUCUAAACUGUUGGGUUUUUUAUCUUGCAUAGAAAUUUAUUACAGAUAAGAUCACUUUUAGUGCAAACUUGUUCUAGGGACCACCCCUGAAUAAAGACAACCAUUUUUACUCCCCAUGUGGCUUUAAUUCUAUGAGACACCACCUCUUAUUAAAUUUAGGACUGUCUUUCAAUAAAAUUUUUCAUAGUGCAAAAUUUCCUUGAAAAUGACGAUGCUAAAUGUAAUUUAUUCUGUGCACAUCAAGCAAAAAUACUUUUGAAAGGGAUUCAGAGUUUUGAUAACAUAUAAUUAUCAGGGUAUAAAGUAGUUGUGAAUGUAAUCAAAAUGUUGCAGUACCUUAUAAUUUUAUGGGUUGUGAAAAUUUAAUCUUUUACUUCCUUAUUCAGGACAGGUGUGGUGUAAAAUUGUUCUUUAACCCUUACCAUGCUGGACAGACUGAUUCUGCCUUUGCAACCAGUGUAGAUCACAAUCAGCCUGCACAUCCUUACAGUCUGAUCAAGAUCUGCGCUGUGAGCCAUUCAGUUAGUAUCUUUUAGGUACUCACCCCUUUUAACAGCUAAUGGUACUAUCCAAAAUGAAAGCUGGACAAGUUCAUUACAGAAAUUUAGCAGAACCUUGUUGUAGGUGAUUAUCUAUCAAAUUUUGCACUCUUUGUGUGAAGAUUGAAGUUGGUUCUAUUAGACUUGUGAAAAUGAAUUUCUUAUGUCAGCAGACCUUGAGAAUAUGUACUUUUACUUGAUGUGAGAUUUGCGACCCACAAAAAGUAAUUGUAGAAACAUAAUUAAUAUCAAAAACUGAAACUGUUAUGAUAAUUAUAUGAAAGGGAUUGUUUAGAUUUGAAUAGACAGGAUGACAUUGGUUCAAAAGUGCUGAAAAUAGAUAACACCUACACAAAUCUUGUUUGUUUGCAAUUUGUUGAAAAUAAAAGCAGUUUGACAAUUAUUCUUUAAAUCUUUUUUCUGUAAAUGAAUCCUGAUUUAUUAUGUAGUUUUCAAUGUUUUUUAUGAUGCUUUAUCAUUCGGGGAACCAUGAUGCAAAAAUCAGUUAUUUUCAGUAUAAGUUGAACAUUUUUGACAUGACUUGCACAAAAAUGGAUAAGUUUCAAAAUCUAUGUUACCUGAAUAAUCAUUACCAAUUUUAUACAAAAUAUAAAAGUUUGUUCGUGCUACAAAACUUGAAUGAAAGAAAGAAAUCU